AAGGUAUAUUCAAUAUUUGUUAAUAGAUCAUUCUAUAGUUAGAAAAUAACAGAGAGUACAUGCAUUUUAUCUGGUGCACAACAACAAUAAAUUGAAAAGUGUAAAAUCUUAAAAAAAAUAAAAAAAUAAAAAAUCAAAUCAAAUAAACAAUAGUCAGGAAGAGAAACAAACUUUGAGAAGAACCCUUGCGGAAAUCCUUCGACCUAGACUCACAUAAAUCCAGCACACUCGGAAUUUGUCUUUUAAAACAAAAUCAAACACACAGAAGUAUUAAGCUCUCGUGCCUCAGAUUGAUUCCAGAAAAGCUCAGACUCAUUGACAAAAAAAUUUCCUACCAUUUCAUCUUGCAAAAUUGGAUGAAAUAACAGAAAAGGGAAAUGCCCUAGACCAUUAAUUGGAGAAGAUAGCUUCAUUGAUUCGUAUUACUUCCAAAAAAUAUUUCAAGACCUUACAGUUAAGACAAGUUUCAAUAUCAGAAGACUUCAUAAAACUGAGAUCAUAAGCACAUUAACAGGAGUGGUCACCCUCCUAAGAAAUUUUAAACAUUUAACAUUCUGAUCACCUUAAAACAAUAGCUUCCCUGUUUGGACUCAAUUUUUUUUUCCAUGAAAUACAUAAGCAAACUAUUCAUACAUUAGUGCAUCUUUUGGCUUUUCAUUCUCAGAUUAUCUUACGGAUGAUAUGGAAAUUUUUACCUUGAGAAAUUUCUGAGACAUAAUUAGUGCAUCUUUAGGCUUUUAAC
rnacentral:lncRNA from 1 species